UACGGAGGGUGCGAGCGUUGUCCGGAAUUAUUGGGCGUAAAGAGCUCGUAGGCGGCUUGUCGCGUCUGCUGUGAAAUCCUGAGGCUCAACCUUGGGCGUGCAGUGGGUACGGGCAGGCUAGAGUGCGGUAGGGGAGAUUGGAAUUCCUGGUGUAGCGGCGGAAUGCGCAGAUAUCAGGAGGAACACCGAUGGCGAAGGCAGAUCUCUGGGCCGUAACUGACGCUGAGGAGCGAAAGCAUGGGGAGCGAACAGG
rnacentral:rRNA from 1 species